AUGAAUGGAUGGGCUCCUAGUCUAGUGGGACAUCAUAUUUUGAAUGUUGAUGCAUCCUUUUCAGAUGAUGAUUUCACAGGAGCUUGUGGAGCUAUGAUACGCGACAAUCGAGGAGGCUCUAUCAGAGUUGCCAUGGCUCGACUUGACCAUGUUCUAGAUGUGGUUUCAGCGGAAGCGACGACACAGUUGGAAGGGCUUCAAUUAGCACAAGGUACUGGAUGCAACAAUCUCCUAGUACGUAUGGACAAUCUGAUAGUCGUGGAAGCAUUGCAGAAUAAUGAAGGAUACUCAAUGGUGGUGGCCCCUAUCAUUCAAGAUUCUCGAGAGUUGAUGAGAGAGUUCGGGAAGGCUAUCAUAGAACAUUGUAAUAGAGAGUCUAAUAUGGUUGCGCAUGAGCUAGCUCAUUAUGGUAGUGCUAACAACCCUACUCUCUGGGUAGAAACGCUGUCUGUUUUCCUGUUAAAGUUUUUAGCGGAUGAUGUAAGUGUUAUUUGA
rnacentral:rRNA from 1 species